UUGUAUGGUUAUUCUGCCUCUGUAUUUUGGUUCUCGAUCCAUGCCUUAUACACACGAAGACAAGGAAAGCGAGCAAAGCCACCGUGUCUGUUAUAUGCUUCCUGCUCUGUUCUGAAGCUUGCUCAUAGCCUUCACGUGGAACAUACAUGCAGUGGACCUGAACCCAGUGGGAAGCCACAGAACAAAAUCUUGUUUCCUAAAAUCGCUCUUUAAUUUCUUUAAUUGCUAAUAUCCUGGCCAACUGUCCACUUGUGGGACAAAUUGUUAACUCCAAUGUAAGCUGACUGAUGGGCUAUGCAAGAUAUUCAGCUUGAUUCUAGGAGGAAGAAGAAGUGCCUCCUAUCUAUCUAUCUAUCUAUCUAUCUAUCUAUCUAUCUAUCUAUCUAUGUAUGUAUGUAUGUAUGUAUGUAUAUUAGUGUUUAAAUCAAGCCUAGUAGAGUCAUGCUGUAAAAGUGUCUCUACAGUCUCAUAUCACUUACCUAUUGCAAAGGAACACAAAGUGAUUAGGUGACACGUAUAUGUCUAAAAUCUAGUAAUAAGCAAAUAAUCCAUAGUAUAUCUGAGCUUAAUGAAAUACUUGUAAUAACAUUGCUAAAUUU
rnacentral:lncRNA from 1 species